AAACCAUUUCGGUACACAUACUAAAAUUGGAACAAUACAGAGAAGAUUAGCAAAGAUGACACGCAAAUUCGUGAAGCAUUCCGUAUUUUU
ensembl:snRNA U6 U6 spliceosomal RNA